UACGAAGGGGGCUAGCGUUGCUCGGAAUCACUGGGCGUAAAGGGCGCGUAGGCGGCCAUGUAAGUUGGGGGUGAAAGCCCGUGGCUCAACCACGGAAUUGCCUUCGAUACUGCUUGGCUUGAGACCGGAAGAGGUGAGUGGAACUGCGAGUGUAGAGGUGAAAUUCGUAGAUAUGGGGAGGAACACCGGUGGCGAAGGCGACCAUCUGGACGGAUACUGACGCUGAGACGCGAAAGCGUGGGGAGCAAACAGG
rnacentral:rRNA from 1 species